ensembl:lncRNA
AUCUUACUGUAGAUCUGUGUAUAGCUGAAGUGUUCUGAAGCUGUGCCCAGCAGCACUUCAGCAGAAGAAAGGAGCAUCCUUGAUGCGGAGUACUCUGAGUUAGAUUUCAUCUUGACUUCUCAUUCUAACAAACACUGAGCCCAGGUGAAGCUUGUGGAAUCUUUCUGCACCAGCUGCCAGCAGCCUGACUCUCUCACUGAGAGCUCUAAAGAGCAACAGGUGGGACCUUCCCAAGGCACGCUGGUAUGAGCAGCACUUUGUGGAGAUGAAUUCAAGCUUACUUUAUAGUGAGUUACAGGUCAGUUCUGUAAAUGCUUAGCUGUAUGCCGAAGCAUGAAUUCUGACGGACCCACUGCUGGUUUUGAAUUCAAGCUUGCCUUUACGUGGCCUCGAAAAACCUUCUACUUGGGUGUAUAUUUUUCUACACAAACCCACGAGAGGGCAGCAGACAGCAAGGGUUCGGGCAGUGCCUCACUGCAGGCAGCUCAGGCAGCACCCAGCAAACGGGGAACGAAGCUGGUCGUUGGUUACAGAGCAUUAAAACCAUCUCGAGUCGGGUCUGGAAAGAAAAUGUGAUAGAUACUGUAAUUUUAGAUGAACUUUGUCUCUGACAUUGGAAUCUGCCACUCUCCUUUGGCUCCUGUUUUUACAUUUGUAAGGGCUGUGUUUUUAUUGAAAGGAGGAUGGAAGCAAGCUGGGUUUAAAAACAAUUAUCAUGAUAGUAAAGGUGCUGUGGAUAUAAUGGAAAAAAUAUAGUGAAAUAAAAAUUGUGAAAAUUAAUGGUAAUGAAUUGUAACAACACACUUGACAGCUAUUUCAAGGCUUGAAAUAGCACAGAUAAUUAGACAACUGAGAAGUUGCUACAGCAUGUAUGGUUUUGUUCAUACUCAGAUCAUUUUAUCUUAUUAAAAAACAUGAAUUCAGAGACUGUUGCAAUCACUGGAACAACUGAACUACUUAUAUGCAAUUGGAAUUUCUCACUUAGGCCCAAUAGCGUGGCAUGCUAUGUUUCUGAAUGUAGUAUUUCAUUAAUUAGAAAUUAAAUCACCCAUGCUUGUGACAGUAACACAUUGGCUUUGUAAUGUAGUGAUAAUGAAAAGGAUGCAUCUGAUGUACAAAAAAUUCAGCAUGCCUGUGUGGUUGAAUUGUUUUAAUUCUGAGUGUUAAUAGAUGGAUUUUUUUCUGUGAGUUAAGACCUAAAUAUUUAAUGUUCUUCUCUCAUAGAAGGUGACUUUCUGAAUAUUGAUUAGUCAGUGAACUAAUGAAACUAAACAAAGAUCUAAACCAACAUGCGAUGGGGUCUUUUAAGCAUUUUACAGGCACAACAUGCAUUUUUGUAUGCCUCUCUUACUUUUCUGUGGUAGCAGAUGCUAAACCUCACUUGUAACACAUGUGGUUUACCUUCAGUGAUAGUAUAGUGGAAAUGCUGAGUCAUGGCUUGAAGCAG